UACGUAGGGUGCAAGCGUUAAUCGGAAUUACUGGGCGUAAAGUGUGCGCAGGUGGCCGCGCAAGUCGAGUGUGAAAAUCCCCCGGGACUUAACUUGGGAAUUGCGCUCGAAACUACGUGGCUCGAGUAUGGCAGAGGAAGGUGGAAUUCCACGUGUAGCGGUGAAAUGCGUAGAUAUCGGGGAGGAACACCCAGUGGCGAAGGCGGCCCCCCUGGGCCGC
rnacentral:rRNA from 1 species